rnacentral:tRNA from 1 species
GGAGGGUACAGCUCAGAGGUAGAGUGUGUGCUUAGCAUGCACAAGGUCCUGGGUUCUAUCCCCUGGAUCUCCA